GCAGUGGGGAAUAUUGCACAAUGGGGGAAACCCUGAUGCAGCGACGCAGCGUGCGGGAUGACGGCCUUCGGGUUGUAAACCGCUUUCAGCAGGGAAGAAGCGCAAGUGACGGUACCUGCAGAAGAAGUACCGGCUAACUACGUGCCAGCAGCCGCGGUAUACGUAGGGUACGAGCGUUGUCCGGAAUUAUUGGGCGUAAAGAGCUCGUAGGUGGUUGGUCACGUCUGCUGUGGAAACGCAACGCUUAACGUUGCGCGUGCAGUGGGUACGGGCUGACUAGAGUGCAGUAGGGGAGUCUGGAAUUCCUGGUGUAGCGGUGAAAUGCGCAGAUAUCAGGAGGAACACCGGUGGCGAAGGCGGGACUCUGGGCUGUAACUGACACUGAGGAGCGAAAGCAUGGGGAGCGAACAGGAUUAGAUACCCUGGUAGUCCAUGCCGUAAACGUUGGGCACUAGGUGUGGGGGGCAUUCCACGUUCUCCGCGCCGUAGCUAACGCAUUAAG
rnacentral:rRNA from 1 species